rnacentral:tRNA from 1 species
UGGAGAGGUUGCUAUUGGUAGAGCAAAUCGUUUGCUAAACGAUCGAGGUUUAAUCACCUCUGUGGGUUCAACUCCCACUCUCUCCGUCCA